rnacentral:lncRNA from 1 species
GUGUAGUGGCAAGAGGCGUUAUUUACCCAGUCAGACAUAGAGGAGUUAUUUACCCAGUCAGAUAUAGAGGAGUUAUUUACCCAGUCAGAUAUAGAGGAGUUAUUUACCCAGUCAGAUAUAGAGGAGUUACUUACCCAGUCAGAUAUAGAGGAAGGAGUUAUUAACCCAGUCAGAUAUAGAGGAGUUAUUUACCCAGUCAGAUAUAGAGGAGUUAUUCACCCAGUCAGAUAUAGAGGAGUUAUUCACCCAGUCAGAUAUAGAGGAGUUAUUUACCCAGUCAGAUAUAGAGGAAGGAUUUAUUCACCCAGUCAGAUAUAGAGGAGUUAUUUACCCAGUCAGAUAUAGAGGAGUUAUUUACCCAGUCAGAUAUAGAGGAGUUAUUUACCCAGUCAGAUAUAGAGGAGUUAUUUACCCAGUCAGAUAUAGAGGAGUUAUUCACCCAGUCAGAUAUAGAGGAGUUAUUUACCCAGUCAGAUAUAGAGUAGUUAUUUACCCAGUCAGAUAUAGAGGAGUUAUUUACCCAGUCAGAUAUAGAGGAGUUAUUUACCCAGUCAGAUAUAGAGGAGUUAUUCACCCAGUCAGAUAUAGAGGAGUUAUUUACCCAGUCAGAUAUAGAGGAGUUAUUUACCCAGUCAGAUAUAGAGGAGUUAUUAACCCAGUCAGAUAUAGAGGAGUUAUUAACCCAGUCAGAUAUAGAGGAGUUAUUUACCCAGUCAGAUAUAGAGGAGUUAUUUACCCAGUCAGAUAUAGAGGAGUUAUUAACCCAGUCAGAUAUAGAGGAGUUAUUAACCCAGUCAGAU